AUACGUAGGGUGCGAGCGUUAAUCGGAAUUACUGGGCGUAAAGCGUGCGCAGGCGGUUGUGCAAGACAGGCGUGAAAUCCCCGGGCUUAACCUGGGAAUGGCGCUUGUGACUGCACGGCUGGAGUGCGGCAGAGGGGGAUGGAAUUCCGCGUGUAGCAGUGAAAUGCGUAGAUAUGCGGAGGAACACCGAUGGCGAAGGCAGUCCCCUGGGCCUGCACUGACGCUCAUGCACGAAAGCGUGGGGAGCAAACAGGAUUAGAUACCCUGGUAGUCCACGCCCUAAACGAUGUCGACUGGUUGUUGGGCCUUAGGUGGCUCAGUAACGAAGCUAACGCGUGAAGUCGACCGCCUGGGGAGUACGGCCGCAAGGUUGAA
rnacentral:rRNA from 1 species